GCCCUUGUGGCCAAGUGGUAAGGCGCUGCACUCGUAAUGCAGAGAUUCGUCGGUUCGAUCCCGACCGGGGGCA
rfam:Aspergillus terreus NIH2624 scaffold_5 genomic scaffold, whole genome shotgun sequence.